rnacentral:rRNA from 1 species
GAGCUUUUCAGUAGUUUACUACAGAAAAUGACUGAGCGGCGAACGGGUGAGUAACGCGUGAGCAAUCUACCUUAGUUACUGGGAUAGCCCGAGGAAACUCGGAUUAAUACCGGAUAUUCUUAUUUUUUCACAUGAAGUUUUAAGGAAAGGUCAGCCGAACUAAGAUGAGCUCGCGUUCUAUCAGCUAGUUGGUGGGGUAAAAGCCUACCAAGGCUACGACGGAUAGCUGGUCUGAGAGGACGAUCAGCCACACUGGGACUGAGACACGGCCCAGACUCCCACGGGAGGCUGCAGCAGGGAAUAUUGCGCAAUGAGCGAAAGCUUGACGCAGCGACACCGCGUGUGGGAUGACGGUUCUAGGAUUGUAAACCACUUUCAGGAGGGAAGAAAAUGACGGUACCUCCACAAGAAGACCCGGCCAACUACGUGCCAGCAGCCGUGGUAAUACGUAGGGGUCAAGCGUUGUCCGGAUUUAUUGGGCGUAAAGAGCUCGUAGGCGGUUCAACAAGUCGGUCGUAAAAGUUUAGGGCUCAACCCUAAAAUGUCGAUCGAUACUGUUGUGACUAGGAUACGGUAGAGGUGAAUGGAAUUCCGAGUGUAGCGGUGAAAUGCGUAGAUAUUCGGAGGAACACCAAUUGCGAAGGCAGUUCACUGGACCGUGAUCGACGCUGAGGAGCGAAAGCUAGGGGAGCAAACAGGAUUAGAUACCCUGGUAGUCCUAGCUGUAAACGAUGGAUACUAGAUGUAGGAACUGGAUUGACGGUUUCUGUAUCGUAGCUAACGCGUUAAGUAUCCCGCCUGGGGAGUACGGUCGCAAGACUAAAACUCAAAGGAAUUGACGGGACCCCGCACAAGCGGCGGAGCAUGCGGCUUAAUUCGAUGAUACCCGUAGAACCUUACCUGGACUUGACAUAUAGGGAAAAGCUAAAGAAAUUUAGUGUGCGUAAGUGCCCUAUACAGGUGGUGCAUGGCUG